AGCUGUGCUCAACGACCUUGUGGAGAACAGGGAAGAUGUGUGCCAUUGCUACUUGAUCAUACAGACAUGGUGAAUUGUACCUCCAGUGGCCCAGGUCACAUGGAGUGUGCUAUCACUUGUCAAAGGGGGUAUGUCCUUCAGACCAGCAGUGGACAGUACCUCAGGAACAUGCAGAAAGAGAUUCUCCUCACUUGUUCCUCUGGUCACUGGAACAACAAUGUGAACUGCAAGCGUCUUGACUGUGGUGUCCCAGACUCGUCCUUGGUGAAUUAUGCAAACUUCUCCUGUACGGAGGGUACAGACUUUCUGAAACGCUGUUCCAUCUCAUGUGUCCCACCAGCCAAGCUCCAAGGACUGAACCCAUGGCUGACGUGUCUUGAAGAUGGACUCUGGUCUCUCCCUGAAGUCUACUGCAAGUUGGAAUGUGAAGCUCCUCCAGUUAUUCCAAAUGCUCAUCUGCUCCGGCCACACUGCCUGGAAGGCAACCAUGACGUGAGCACCAUCUGCAAAUAUGAAUGCAAACCAGGCUACUACGUGAAGGAGAGCUCAGGAAGUCAAGGCAAGAACAAGUUCCUGAAGAUCCAAUGCCUAGAUGAUGGAACCUGGGAACAAGGGAGCUGUGUCCCCGUGGUGUGUGAGCCUC
rnacentral:lncRNA from 1 species